rnacentral:tRNA from 1 species
GUUGUGGUUUAGUGGAAGAGCAUUUGUCUAGCACAUCUGGGUUUGAUUCUCAGCACUGAAUAUAAGUAAAUGAAUAAAGAUCCAUCAACAUCUAAAAAAUAUUUUUUUUAAAAAAUGAAAAAUACAAAAGGUAGGAGAUGAAGCUCAAUUAAAAAAAAAUGAAGGACAGCGUUUAGGGCUGAGAAUAUAGUUCAGUGCCAGAGUGCUUGCCAACAUGCAUGAAGCCCUGGGUUCAAUUCCUAGCACCACA